GCAGGGCGGGAGACCGCUGAGGAGGCACCCUCAAGUUCACCUCAGGCUCAUGACACCAGCCCCGCCGCGGUUCCCCCAACCGGCUUUCCGUUGGCCCUGGCGGCUGCGGAACGGUCAACUAGACUCCACCAGCUGAAGCCGGGAUCACCUGGGAAGCAGCCAGGCCGCCCGGAGGCCACGCCCGGGGGAGGAGCUUGCGGACGCCCAGUCGGGUGGAGCACGCCAGGCUGCUGACUUGAGUAAACCAAUAGAUAAAAGGAUAUACAAAGGAACACAGCCUACUUGUCAUGACUUCAACCACCUAACAGCCACAGCAGAAAGUGUCUCUCUCCUAGUGGGCUUUUCCGCAGGCCAAGUCCAGCUUAUAGACCCAAUCAAAAAAGAAACUAGCAAACUUUUUAAUGAGGAAAGACUAAUAGACAAGUCACGAGUUACCUGUGUCAAAUGGGUUCCCGGUUCGGAAAGCCUUUUCCUAGUAGCCCACUCGAGU
rnacentral:sRNA from 1 species